CCUUCGGGGGGCAGCCGGGGGGAAUUUUGCCCAAUGGGGGCAACCCGGACUCAGCCAUUCCGGGGGGUGGAAAAAGGCCUUUGGGUUUUAAAGUCUUUUCUGUGGGGAGGAAGGGAGUAGGGUUAAAUCCUUUGGGCAUAGGCGUUACCCGCAGAAAAAGCCCCGGCUAAUUCCGUGCCCGCCACCGGGGUAAUUCGGAGGGGGCAAGCGUUAAUUGGAAUUUCUGGGGGUAAAGGGCUGGCCGGGGGUUUGUUAAGUCAGAUGUGGAAUUCCCCGGCUUAACCUUGGAAAUGCCUUUGAUACUGGCAAGCUUGAAUUUCGUAGAAGGGGGUAGAAUUCCAGGUGUAGCGGUGAAAUGGGUAGAGAUUGGGGGGAAUCCCGGUGGGGAAGGCGGCCCCCUGGCCAAAGACUGCCGGUUAGGUCCGAAAGGGUGGGGAGCAAACCGGAUUAGAUUCCCUGGUAGUCCCCCCCGUAAACGAUGUUAAAUGGGAGGUUGUGCCCUUGAGGCGUCAGUACCGCAGCUAACGCGUAAGUCACCGCGCUGGAGAC
rnacentral:rRNA from 1 species